GCCCAGCACCGAAUCCUUCACCAUCUCGGUGACAGGAAAUGUGGUGUUUAGGCCGUACCUUGUCCCGACACGUCUCUCCUCAAGUCCACUUGAUUGUGGCCCCAGGCCCAGAGAGGGUGUAAGGCCCGUGGAGGCGAGACGUUCGGUACCUGGUGCGUCCUUAGAGUCGGGUUGUUUGGGAAUGCAGCCCUAAGCGGGUGGUAAACUCCAUCCAAGGCUAAAUACCAGCACGAGUCCGAUAGCGAAGAAGUACCGCGAGGGAAGGUUGAAAAGAACUUUGAAGAGAGAGUUCAAGAGUACGUGAAACCGCUGAGAGGCAAACUGGUGGAACUGAAAUGGUCCCGAGGAAUUCAGCCGUUGGUCGUUGCACAGUCUUUGGUGAUUGAUCUAACGACGGCGCCAUUGAAUGACGUUUCGAUCAUCGGUGCACUUUCCUCGCCUGGGCCCGACCACGACCGGUGAGCUGAUCUGUCUGUCGUGCUUGGAAGAUAGCGCCGUCUUCGGAAGGCGUGUUAUAGACAGGCAUACGGAGCAGUCGGCGCACUGGAUGAUAGUGCCUGCCCAUCUGGGCUCAUAUGGUGGUUGUUUUGUUGGCGAGUUCUGAUGUCACUACUUCGGUAGAGUCGUUAGACUCUGUUGGCAUUAUGGCUGUCCUCUAUGAUUGGCACUGUUAAGUCUGUGGUUGUGAAGUANGUAGUCCACCUGACCCGUCUUGAAACACGGACCAAGGAGUCUAACAUGUGCGCGANUCAUUGGGUUCACGAAACCUAAAGGCGCAGUGAANGUAAAGAUCUGUUUUGGCAGAUUGAGUGGGAUGCCGGGUUACNCGCCCGGCCGCACUACCGGCCCGUUCUAUAUGUCUUUCAUAGAGCGGAGCAAGAGCGUACACGUUGGGACCCGAAGAUGGUG
rnacentral:rRNA from 1 species